rnacentral:lncRNA from 1 species
GCAUGGCUAUCAAUGUAUUUCUAAUUUCUUCACUCAUCAUCUUGCACAACUCUCAAAGCGGAUAUGGUGUCAUCAAGUGGUAGAUUCGUGAGAAGGAAGGUGAAUCCUUCUUUCGUGCAAAAGAUAGAACCCCUCCUUUUUGAAUCAUUAAUAAUUGUUAACUUUAACAAAGCUAUCAGCCCAUGCCUUAAUGAUUGUUAUUAGACAAAGGCACUCAGCCGCGCCUAGCACGGCCCAACCUAGACCCAUCAG